AUGACUGUAUUAAGAGAGGUAUAUUAAGGUGAAGAAAACUCUUUGUAAAUGUCCUAGAGAAAUAUAGUAGCUUUCUGUUCACACUUUGUAAGUAAAAAGGGUGGAUCGUUCCACUACUGACAUAU
rfam:Myotis lucifugus cont2.33783, whole genome shotgun sequence.